rnacentral:lncRNA from 12 species
CUGAGCUCUCGGAAUGGCUUCUAGAUGAGUCAACAGGAGAGCCUCUCCCUGAGUGUUCCUCCAGACAGUACUCUCUCCAAUCUCCCUUCCUGUCUGGACGGGCGCAUGAAAUGAGCAAAAUGCAGAGAGAUUUUUAAGUAGCUGAUUGGAUUGUUUAAUUCUAAUUGUACCAAGUGGUGAAAAGCAAAACAGACUGAACAGACACAGGGUGAUACUGUGAUAAUCCCCUUUCCAUCACAUCUUGGAGGUGUUCCGAUCCACAGGAAUUCUGAAGAUGGGGAUGUACCAGGAGCUGUGAGCGAAGACCGGCCGCUGUUGCUGAAUUCAGAACCUGAGCAAACACAGCGGCUCCAGCCGAGCCUGCUGAGGCUCCUCCGACAAGUUCACCUUCAGCGUGGGGAGAAACCUAAGCUCGUUCACGAAGCCAUCAGGCAGGAAGGACUCGGUGGACCCCUGCCUGAGCACUAGCAGUGCCCGUCACACCUGUGUACUCCCAGCCAACGUGGUCCGUCCAGU